GACCAUGACUUCAUUGCACCUGUUUCUCCCAAACCCUUUGACUGGAGUGUGCUCGCCUCCCUCCUGGAAACCACAGGUAACUAUUUCCUCACGGGAGCUCGAACUUGGAAGAGCCCAUAGAAAGCAUUCUACGUCGGAAGAGACCAAAAACCUGCAAGGGGGAAUGACCUGCCCAAGGAGCCCUCUCCACUCUGCAGCCAGAGUCAUCUGUCUGAGCAGGAUGUGACCUUGUCACUCUCCAUGAGAAAACUCUCUGUGGCCCCUACUUACCUACAGUAGAGGCCAAACUUCUUCCCAGGCCUGUGGUGCCCAGUGUGGUCAGCCCUCCUCAGGGCUGCCCUCCCUGACCAUCUGUGCAAGGCAGAUGCUCGGCCCCACUCACUCCCUUCCCAUCGCCCUGAUGGGAUGUGUUCACGACACAUAACACCAUCCAUGUAACAUCAUCUGGUUUGUUUACUGAUUUUUCUCCUUUAUCUGGGUCAACUCACUAG